rnacentral:lncRNA from 1 species
ACGCUACAGUGCUACUGGCCCAUAAUCAGGCAACUGCAGAGUCUUAGGGGGUUAUCUAAUGUAGUCUUGGGGUGGCUGGAUAGACUUCCCAAAGAAGGUGAUGCCGAAGCUGAGGUCGGAAAUUACGAAGAUCAGCUAUCAAACUUGGAAAUCAUGUCUUAGAGAUCAAGGAGCCAAGAGAUGAGACAAGCCUGGGUUCCUAGGUGAUAGGGUGUGGCUGUGUCCCCACCCAAAUCUCGUCUUGAAUUGUAGCUCCCAUAAUCCCCACAUGUUGUGGAGGGACCCUGUGGAAGUGCAGCCCUGGCCAGAGAGGGCAGAAGCCAUUUAUUGUGGAUGCAAAGCUGUGACUAUGGCUGCCUGAACAGUGUGAUAUAUGUUCUCUAUCUCUGCUUUUAUAAGGCAGCUGUUUCUCGGAGGAUCAAGCUCAGAUGUACCCAUAGGGUCAAGCUCCAGCACAGAGACCCAUCCUGGGAUGCAGGACUUGGUGCCAGGGAAGUCCCAGCAUCUACUUGUUUCCAAAGUUAUUUGGGUCAGCAUUUUCCUCCACCCACCACUUAAAACUGAUUUGUUUCAUACAUUUGAAAUGUAUGAAAAGCCAGAAAUCCAGGACCCACCCUGGCCUGCUCCCUUUUUCUCACCUACUGUGUUAAGAUGUCUACACUUUUACCUCUGCUUGCCUGAUACAACCACCACCAGUCACCUCACAGAAUAACUCACUCCUUAAGAAUCUGAUCAGGAAUCAGCCUUCCCUGAUCACAAACACUGAGUUUAGAAGUCCCUCCACAGUGUCCCCCGUAACCCUGUGCUACCUCACUGCCUCAUAGUUUAGUGCCGUUUGUGUACAUGCCUAUCUUCGUCCAUGGAUCCAGAACAACUUGUAAAAAUGACUGUACUUAUCACCUUCAGUAUUCAAUGACUAAACUAUAAUUUUAACAUAUCUGGCAGAAUGAAUCACUUGGGGAUUUCUGCCAACACUACCAAUAUAUUACUCCUAAUUUGUAAUUAUUACUUAGCAUGGAUUAUAGUACCGGCUGUUGGAGAGCCAAUGUGGCAGACCCUAAGUGGAAUAAAAUGUCAGUAGCAGUCUAGGAGCAUAUAUUUAUUGGAAUAGAUCAUUCAUUCAUUUGUUCAUUAACUAAUUUGUUCAUUAAAUAAACAUUUAUUAA